rnacentral:rRNA from 1 species
GACGAACGCUGGCGGCGUGCUUAACACAUGCAAGUCGAACGAUGAUGCUGGAGCUUGCUCCGGUUGAUUAGUGGCGAACGGGUGAGUAACACGUGAGCAAUCUGCCCUUGACUCUGGGAUAACUGCGGGAAACUGUAGCUAAUACCGGAUACUUUUACCGGAAGGCAUCUUCUGGUGAUGAAAGAAUUUCGGUCAGGGAUGAGCUCGCGGCCUAUCAGCUUGUUGGUGAGGUAACGGCUCACCAAGGCGACGACGGGUAGCCGGCCUGAGAGGGUGACCGGCCACACUGGGACUGAGACACGGCCCAGACUCCUGCGGGAGGCAGCAGUGGGGAAUAUUGCACAAUGGGCGCAAGCCUGAUGCAGCAACGCCGCGUGAGGGAUGAAGGCCUUCGGGUUGUAAACCUCUUUUAGCAGGGAAGAAGCGAAAGUGACGGUACCUGCAGAAAAAGCACCGGCUAACUACGUGCCAGCAGCCGCGGUAA